rnacentral:rRNA from 1 species
UAGUCCACGCCGUAAACGAUGUCAACUAGCCGUUUGGAGCACUUAGCUCUUAGUGGCGCAGCUAACGCGAUAAGUUGACCGCCUGGGGAGUACGACCGCAAGGUUGAAACUCAAAGGAAUUGACGGGGGCCCGCACAAGCGGUGGAGCAUGUGGUUUAAUUCGAUGCAACGCGAAGAACCUUACCAUCCCUUGACAUCCUCAGAAUGAUCUGUAAUCGAUCAGUGCCUUCGGGAACUGAGUGACAGGUGCUGCACGGCUGUCGUCAGCUCGUGUCGUGAGAUGUUGGGUUAAGUCCCGUCAACGAGCGCAACCCCUAUCUAUAGUUGCCAGCACGUAAUGGUGGGAACUCUAUAGAGACUGCCGGUGAUAAGCCGGAGGAAGGUGGGGACGACGUCAAGUCAUCAUGGCCCUUACGGGAUGGGCUACACACGUGCUACAAUGGUGCAUACAGAGGGUUGCCAAGCCGCGAGGUGGAGCUAAUCUCAG